rnacentral:tRNA from 1 species
GUGGGAGUUCCAGAGUGGUCAAAUGGGCAGGACUUAAGAUCCUGUGGCUUAGUGCCUUCGGAGGUUCGAAUCCUCCCUUCCACA